UGGGGAAUAUUGCACAAUGGGCGCAAGCCUGAUGCAGCCAUGCCGCGUGUGUGAAGAAGGCCUUCGGGUUGUAAAGCACUUUCAGCGGGGAGGAAGGCGAUAAGGUUAAUAACCUUGUCGAUUGACGUUACCCGCAGAAGAAGCACCGGCUAACUCCGUGCCAGCAGCCGCGGUAACACGGAGGGUGCAAGCGUUAAUCGGAAUUACUGGGCGUAAAGCGCACGCAGGCGGUCUGUCAAGUCGGAUGUGAAAUCCCCGGGCUCAACCUGGGAACUGCAUUCGAAACUGGCAGGCUAGAGUCUUGUAGAGGGGGGUAGAAUUCCAGGUGUAGCGGUGAAAUGCGUAGAGAUCUGGAGGAAUACCGGUGGCGAAGGCGGCCCCCUGGACAAAGACUGACGCUCAGGUGCGAAAGCGUGGGGAGCAAACAGG
rnacentral:rRNA from 1 species